rnacentral:tRNA from 1 species
UGUAAAUUAGUGUAUGUUGCACAUUGAUCUUUGACCUCAAAAGAAGGGGUUAAACUCCCCAAUUUACAA